rnacentral:lncRNA from 1 species
ACCAACCAGCCCAAGAAACAUCUCACCAAUUUCAAAUCCGAAAUCCUUCAUCUAAUCUGGCAAACACAUGUGGCAGGUUUUUCUCACCGCAUAAAAUAUGUUAUAGAGUAGUCCAUCUAUUUCUCUUCCAUGGAAGAGUUCAUCUGGUAGAUUGGACUACCACUUUUCCUUGUGGAGACCUAUUCUGUUGGGUUAGAGAUGACAGAAAAUCUUAUUUGUCGGUUGGUUUGUUUGUUCAAGAAUACACUGACCUUCUACAAGAAAGGAGAGCUCUUUGACACCUGGAAAUUUUACAGAAGCUUGGGACAGCUCUGAAUGGCAACACGGUCCUGAGAUAUGUGAUUACCUGGGACUUUCAUUGGACCUGCAUUUCAGCUCUACUCUCCUCACUGCCCUAUGCUGCUUUGACCCUAAAAGUGAAGCCAGCUUGGCCAGGUGCAGUGACUCACACCUGUAAUCCCAGCACUUUGGGAGGCCGAGGUGGGCAAAUCAAGAAGUCAGGAAAUCGAGA